AAUUGUUAAAUAAAAGUUGAAGGCACCUGGGUACUAAUCUACUUUCAGCUUUUUUGUAUUUAAAAUAAUUUUUAAAACAAGAACAUGAAGGGAAAAAUAAAUUCAAUUAUAGCCUCCGCCUUCUGAUGCUCAUAUUCCUUAUUCUCAUUUCCACUUAAUUUUUCCCAUAUGAAUUAUCUACCAUUUUUUACCAUACGUGUUAUCAGUGCUUUUUAACUGGUCUAUAGUGAUGGACCCAAUUUUUUAAUUUUUCUUCAGUUUAUCGUAGAUUGAUAUUUUUGCAAAAUACAAUGAGGUGCAAUAAAAAUGAAAUAAAAUGGUACGCCAAAUUCAAGCUCUUCCUUAUCUCUGCUAAUGAGAAACUAUUAGAAUAUUCCAAGUGGUAGAUGAUAGUGUUUUGGACCAGUGUAGUGGUAGCAAAAGUAAUAAGAAUGGGUGAGAUUCUAAAUAUAUUUUGAAGGCAAAUCUGGUUGGAUUUACUGAUGGAUUGGCUGUAGCAUUUACAAGAAAGAGAAAAAAAUGACUCCAAGUUUUUGGGUGUGAACAACCGAAAGGUUGCAGUUGCAAUUAAUUAAGAAAGACUAAGAUAGCAACAGGUUUAGCAGGGAAAUGUAUGAGCUCAAUUAUAAACUUACUAUGUUUGAGAUGCCCUCUAGACACUCAAAUGGAAAUGUUGAUCCUGAAGUUUCAUAUGUGAGUCUGGAGUUGGAGAGAGGUCUGAGUUAGAGAUAGAAAUUUGGUAGUGGUCAAUCUAUAAAAGGUGUUUUAAGCCUUGAGCUUGGGUGACUGAUGAGUCAGUAAUAAUAACUGCAGAACCUAUGUAUGACUCAUAGUUAGUGAACCAGAAUCUAUUCUAAACAUUUUUCUAAGUAUAUGUUAAUUUCAUUAUUUCACACAAUUAAAUAAAAUUGGUACAGUUACCUCCAUUUUAUAGAUGGAAAACCAAGGCCCAAAAUGUUGGCAGGCUGGCUCAGGAUUAUAUGGAGAAUAUCAAGAGAAUAAGUAUAAAUAGAAAAGAGGAUAAUUCUGAGUACUGAGUACUAGGGUACAUAAAAAUUAAAGAGUAGAUGUCUAAAAGAAAAAAAAGACAGCUAAGUAUAAUGACCUGGAAGUUAAGUGAGGAAUAUUUGUCAGUGUGGAAGAAGUAAAUACUUCAGGAUGAAAAGAAGAAAGGAAAAAAUGGAUAACAAAUAGUGUAAGAGUGAUUUGCUUUAGUGAUGUUCCUAAGUAUGCAAAAAGGAAACAACAAAUGACCUUAAAUAUUGUAAACUACAAAUGCAAAUUUAAUGUAUUUGACUGUUACAAGCAGUUAAAUUUUUGACAUGGUGUAUAUACAAUUCUCAUACUAAAAUUAUAUAUAUUUAGUAAAUUAAGUAUUGUUAAAUAUUGUGCACUUGUGCAUGAAGGAAGGAGUAAGAACUAAACUAAAUCAUAUUCUCAUAUAUUUCAAAUAGAAAAUCUCAUAUAUUUCAAGUUAAAUUCUCUAAACUUAAUUAUAAAUUUCUGACAAGCACACUGGAUCCGUAAAUUUAAUGUGCUUAAUAUUUUUAUAAAUGAGAGGCAUUUAAAAUGUCAGAAGCGUUUAAAAUAUUAAACACUCAUAUUUAUCUAAUAAUUAUGCAACUUGUUCCUAAACACAACAUAGUAUAAUUAAUUCUGUAUAAUUAUGUAGUUAUUAGGUAAAUACGUAAUAGACAUAUGUGUUUGUGUGUUAUACUUCAUGUUUCCUAUUAUAUAUUAUCUAUUUAUGUAUUAGGUACUUUAAUAUAUAUCUUCCUUUGGUAUAGUCAUUUAUAUCAAAUUGAGGAAAGUGAAAGUCAAAAGACAAGGCAUGGAUAUGAUGACUGCAUAUGAAUAAGAUGAAUUUCUGCCUCAAAAUUGGAAGCUGGAUGCUAAAUACUUGCAGAAAUAUUCUCAAGACAGUGCGGAACAUGUUGAACUGCUUCUUCAACUUCAGCUUUGUCUGCUGUAUUCAUGUUGGACAAUAUCCUGAGCCUUUCAUUUACUUCAAAAAUCCAGUGUCCCACAUUCCAUGGGCAUCUUCCAAGUAUUAACCUUAGCCAAUUAUUUUAUAAUCUUUUUCAUAAUGCUUGAUCUGAAUAGAUGAUAUUCCCUACUGUAAUCCAGCUUGCAAAUAUUUUCCUUCACUUCUGGAUUUUAUUCAAUUUAUUAUGGCUUGUUUGGCUUCUGAAGUUUUUCCUCUAUUUUUUUUCCUAUGUCUGACUUCUCAUGACAGAUUUAGAGUUGUUUUAUUGUGUGAGGACAAGCUUUUUUACAUAGAAAAACACAGAAAAAAGGAAGUAGACAGUGAGGAAAGAAGAAAGAAUAUUGUAUAGAAAGAGAAUAGCUAUACAGUUUAAGGAUUAUGUUAGCAAAGAGUUUAAAAUAUAGGUGAAUAGGAAAAUAAAGUCGUAUUUCAUCACAAGAUAGAGGGAUAUUCCUUGGAAAAAAUCAUUUUUCUGUUUCACCAAAGUUUGGUCAUUUGGUCUUUAAUCUUUGUCCUUCUUCAGAGUCAUGUGGCAACACUUCUCUCCCUUCUGCUGUAGCUGAUGCUUGUCUAGCCUUCUCUGGGCAGAGGCAAGGUCCUGUUUUCCUCCCUCUAUUUUCUUUGUAAUUUUUGAUCAGGCAUGAACUUGUUGCUUUUUUCCUUUUGUGGUGGACCCUUUUGACUGUCAGAAGCUCAGUGUCACAACUCAGUUUUGAAGCAUAUAUAUAUAAAGAGAGAGAGACUUUUUUUUGAAGCCCUGCUACAGUAGGUGAAUACUUGCAGAGGAAAAUAGAUGCCUAAUGGAAAAGAUUGAUGAAUUUCUGCGCAGAAAACAUGCAAAAUAUUAAUUUCAAGAUAUAACUCAGUACUUUAACAAAAAUAAGAAGUAGACACUGGGAAAUAGGAUAAUUCAAUUUUGCUAAUUUCCUUUAGGGAAAAAUCAAGCUAUUACACUUUUGUUUUACACUUUAAUAAUUAUAGAAAUGUUGUUUUCAUUUGUAUUCCUAAAGUGUUAAGAUAGCUAUUAAUAAAACUAAAUUUUACGUCAAAGAUAGUGUUAAAAAGGAGACAACAAUGUACAAAAAUAAUACCUUAAAAAGAGAAAGAGAAAUGAAUUAUUUGAAAUAUACCAAUAUGCAACAGAUGCACAUUAGUUAGGAUGUGUGGUUAAACUUAAGGCUGUAGAUUAGGUUAAAACCAAAGUCCAACAAUAUGUUUCUUAAAAGAAAUGUGCAACUAAUUUAAAAAGAGAUUUAAUAAUGAAAAAAACAAACUAAGAUAAAUUAGGGUAAAGAUAAAGUAAAAUAAAUGAUGGCAAUUUAUUUCUGUAAAAUUAAAUUUUGAGACAUCAAUCUCUUUGAUAAAAGGAACAACUAAUGGAACAAUUCAUAGUCACAAACUUCUAUGCCAUUUGUUAACAAAGUACCAAAUAUAUAAAACAAAAUCUGUUCAAGUGUAUAGAGAAUUUGUGAGGGGUACAAUUUUUCCAUGUUUUAACAUUCAUAAUUGAUUAUGCAAGUGAAAUAAAUUGUUCAAAAUAUAAUAAUGAAGUUGAUGUAAAAAUAUGUAUUUAUUCAUUCUGAAAACAUUUAGUGAGGGCUUACUGUGUGUCAGACAUUCUUUCAGAUGCCAGAGGAUGCUAUAGAAAAAUGCGUGCCCUCUUGUAAUACUUUGUUCAAGUUCUGAUCAGAAGGAUGAAUGAUGGAGCCCAAGAAGCCAGAGUCUCAUUGUGUUGCUCAGGCUGGAAUCCAGUGGCAUGAUCUCGGCUCAGUGCAACCUCCGCCUCCUGGGUUCAAGCAGUUCUCCUAGAUCAGCAUCAGCGUCCCGAGUAGCUGGGAUUACAGGCACCCGCCACCAUGCCUGGCUAAUGUUGGUCAGGCUGGCUCGAACUCCUGACCUCAAGAGAUCCACCUGCUUUGGCCUCCCAAAGUGCUCGGAUUACAGGCAUGAGCUGCCACACCCAGCCUCCAAAUACUUUUUUUUUAAAUCAAAAUAAUGAUUUCAAUGACUGAGAUCUGUUAUGUAUUUCAACAUAAUCAUGUUUCAUAAAGAUUUAGUCUUCUGAAA
ensembl:lncRNA novel transcript